ACCUGCCCACUGAAUUAUUUUAAAUGGCCGCAGUAAUUUGACUGUGCAAAGGUAGCAUAAUCAUUAGUUUUUUAAUUAAAAGCUUGUAUGAAAGGUUGGACGAAAUAAAAUCUGUCUUUAUUUAAAUAAUAUUAGAAUUUAAUUUUUAAGUUAAAAAGCUUAAAUAUAUAUAAAAGACGAGAAGACCCUAUAGAUCUUUAUAUUAUUAUAUUAUAAUUUUUAUUAAGAAUAUUUAAUUUUUUUUUAUUUUAUUUAAUAUUUUAUUGGGGUAAUAGAAAGAUUUAAUUAAUUUUUUUUAAUAUUUUACAUUAAUUAAUGAAUUGAUGAUCCAUUAUUUUUGAUUAUAAGAUUAAGUUACCUUAGGGAUAACAGCGUAAUUUUUUUAGAGAGUUCAUAUCGAUAAAAAAGUUUGCGACCUCGAUGUUGGAUUAAAAAUUGUUUUAGGCGUAGAAGUUUAAAAAUUUGGUCUGUUCGACCAUUAAAUUUUU
rnacentral:rRNA from 1 species